AUUGAACGCUGGCGGCAGGCCUAACACAUGCGAGUCGAGCGGAUGAAGGGAGCUUGCUCCUGGAUUCAGCGGCGGACGGGUGAGUAAUGCCUAGGAAUCUGCCUGGUAGUGGGGGAUAACGUCCGGAAACGGGCGCUAAUACCGCAUACGUCCUGAGGGAGAAAGUGGGGGAUCUUCGGACCUCACGCUAUCAGAUGAGCCUAGGUCGGAUUAGCUAGUUGGUGGGGUAAAGGCCUACCAAGGCGACGAUCCGUAACUGGUCUGAGAGGAUGAUCAGUCACACUGGAACUGAGACACGGUCCAGACUCCUACGGGAGGCAGCAGUGGGGAAUAUUGGACAAUGGGCGAAAGCCUGAUCCAGCCAUGCCGCGUGUGUGAAGAAGGUCUUCGGAUUGUAAAGCACUUUAAGUUGGGAGGAAGGGCAGUAAGUUAAUACCUUCCUGUUUUGACGUUACCAACAGAAUAAGCACCGGCUAACUUCGUG
rnacentral:rRNA from 1 species